GAGAAGGGACUGGAUUUCUGAAGGGCUGAUGGAACUACUAGCACCCUGGACAGAGCAGUGCUGGGUCUGGUCAGGGGAGUGAGAGGGAGCUCUAACCAGAUUGGCUGAAAGACUGAAGCCCUGAUAUAGGGUUGAGAAGCCCCAGAAACUUGAGUUCUAUGAUUAUACGGGCAUUUCAGCUUUCAUUUUUAAGCCUGGAAGCAGAGGAUAAAAUUGUGACCUGGCCACAGGGCUGAAUACAGGCAGAGAGAUCACUGCAGUGACUGAGGGGCCAUCAGCCAUAGGGUGAAAUAUGCUAUACCAUGCCUGGCCAUGAGGAGAUGUUCCUGAGUUACAAACAGGAAUCACAUUACUGGCUGCUGAAAAACAAACAGAUCUGGGGUGGAAAGCAACAUCCAGUGCACAGCACACUUCACCACAGUGAGAAGAGAAAUUUUGGCCAAUGAAACAGUGCAUAGAAAAGCUAUGGAGUGUGGAACAGAGGAAAUUCUCAGGUUUUUCAGAUGCCCAGUGCAGUCAAUACAUUGGAACGUGUGACUUGUAACAAUUCCCAGAACUCUUCUGCUGAUCUAAUUUUACCCAACAUCAAGGAUUAUCUUGAAAUUACAAGACUUGGCCUGAAUGCAAAAGGUGACUAUUGAGCUGAUUUUUAAAAUGCUGUAGAGUAAGUAAUAGGCAUGACUGUGUGGAUACACAACUGAAAAUAUAGGUUUGAACCCCAUUGUCUCAAUUCAAUGAGAUUUAGAGCAUUUACAGUCUUUCUUUUUUAAGAGUAUAAAAAUAAGAAGUUGAGUCAGUAAGCAGUAACUACAAGAAGCCCACAAAACCACUAUUACUAUUAUUUUAUUAAAAUCUGAUAAGGCAAAUUCACUGCCCCACUCCAAUCCUGUUGCACUGCUCUGGGACUAAGAGCACUCAGAGCACCCAAGAUGGGGAGUCCCACACUGUGAGAGAGUCUCCGGGGGUGGGGAGGAAGAGAGAAGAGUCAGUGCGA